rnacentral:lncRNA from 1 species
AAGUUUUAAUAUAUAACUUCAUAAUUACAGUAAAGUUGGUGGAGGAUAUUUUAUAUAUGUACGGACCAAGUUUAUUCAUUGUCAAAACUCAAAACACGUGUAGAGUUGAAGUCAAGCACGCGUAGAAUUGCACAAGUAACACGACGUCGCGAGGAAGAAGUGCUAAACAUACACUUACUCACAAGUCAGAAGCUCUUAAUUAAUUUCUUUUUUUGUUUUGCUUACUUUUUUUUUUAUGAAUCAAGUCAUAUAUAAGUUGACCACUCCAAAUAAAAAUAACAAACUAUUUAUAUAUUUAUAUAUACU